rnacentral:rRNA from 1 species
ACGACGUCAAAUCAUCAUGCCCCUUAUGACCAGGGCUACACACGUGCUACAAUGGCGUAAACAGAGGGAAGCAGCCUCGUGAGAGUGAGCAAAUCCCAAAAAUAACGUCUCAGUUCGGAUUGUAGUCUGCAACUCGACUACAUGAAGCUGGAAUCGCUAGUAAUCGCGAAUCAGAAUGUCGCGGUGAAUACGUUCCCGGGUCUUGUACACACCGCCCGUCACACCAUGGGAGUCAGUAACGCCCGAAGUCAGUGACCCAACCGUAAGGAGGGAGCUGCCGAAGGCGGGACCGAUAACUGGGGUGAAGUCGUAACAAGGUAGCCGUAUCGGAAGGUGCGGCUGGAUCACCUCCUUUCUAAGGAA